UACGGAGGGUGCGAACGUUGUCCGGAAUCACUGGGCGUAAAGGGCGCGUAGGCGGCCUGAUAAGUAGGGGGUGAAAUCCUGCGGCUUAACCGCAGGGCUGCCUUCUAAACUGUCAGGCUAGAGCACAGUAGAGGCAGGUGGAAUUCCCGGUGUAGCGGUGGAAUGCGUAGAGAUCGGGAGGAACACCAGAGGCGAAGGCGGCGACCUGGACAGGUACUGACACUCAACUACGAAAGCGUGGGGAGCAAACAGG
rnacentral:rRNA from 1 species